AGACGUCUACAUUAGAUACCCCCGUAGUCCCAGCCGUAAACUAUGCGCGUUAGGUGUAUCGGUGACCACGAGUCACCGAGGUGCCGAAGGGAAACCGUGAAACGUGCCGCCUGGGAAGUACAGUCGCAAGGCUGAAACUUAGAGGAAUUGGCGGGGAGCACCACAACGGGUGGAGCCUGCGGUUUAAUUGGACUCAACGCCGGGAAGCUCACCGGAUAAGACAGCGGAAUGAUUGCCGGGCUGAAGACUCUGCAUGACUAGCUG
rnacentral:rRNA from 1 species